ACUCCUACGGGAGGCAGCAGUGGGGAAUAUUGCACAAUGGGCGCAAGCCUGAUGCAGCCAUGCCGCGUGUAUGAAGAAGGCCUUCGGGUUGUAAAGUACUUUCAGCAGUGAGGAAGGUGGAGUCGUUAAUAGCGGCCUCAUUGACGUUUAGCUGCAGAAGAAGACACCGGCUAACUCCGUGCCAGCAGCCGCGGUAAUACGGAGGGUGCGAGCGUUAAUCGGAAUUACUGGGCGUAAAGCGCAUGCAGGUGGUUUGUUAAGUCAGAUGUGAAAGCCCGGGGCUCAACCUCGGAA
rnacentral:rRNA from 1 species